GAUGAACGCUGGCGGCGUGCCUAAUACAUGCAAGUCGAGCGAACGGACGAGAAGCUUGCUUUUCUGAUGUUAGCGGCGGACGGGUGAGUAACACGUGGAUAACCUACCUAUAAGACUGGGAUAACUUCGGGAAACCGGAGCUAAUACCGGAUAAUAUUUUGAACCGCAUGGUUCAAAAGUGAAAGACGGUCUUGCUGUCACUUAUAGAUGGAUCCGCGCUGCAUUAGCUAGUUGGUAAGGUAACGGCUUACCAAGGCAACGAUGCAUAGCCGACCUGAGAGGGUGGUCGGACACACUGGAACUGAGACACGGUCCAGACUCCUACGGGAGGCAGCAGUAGGGAAUCUUCCGCAAUGGGCGAAAGCCUGACGGAGCAACGCCGCGUGAGUGAUGAAGGUCUUCGGAUCGUAAAACUCUGUUAUUAGGGAAGAACAUAUGUGUAAGUAACUGUGCACAUCUUGACGGUACCUAAUCAGAAAGCCACAGCUAACUACGUG
rnacentral:rRNA from 1 species